GACGAACGCUGGCGGUGUGCCUAAUACAUGCAAGUCGUACGCAUUCUCGUUUCUGAUUGACGGUGCUUGCACCUAAUUGACGAGACAUUGGAAUGAGUGGCGGACGGGUGAGUAACACGUGGGUAACCUGCCCAGAAGCGGGGGAUAACAUUUGGAAACAGAUGCUAAUACCGCAUAAAAGUCAAAACCACAUGGUUUUGGUUUAAAAGAUGGCCUUUGUGCUAUCACUUCUGGAUGGACCCGCGGCGUAUUAGCUAGUUGGUAAGGUAACGGCUUACCAAGGCAAUGAUACGUAGCCGAACUGAGAGGUUGAUCGGCCACAAUGGGACUGAGACACGGCCCAUACUCCUACGGGAGGCAGCAGUAGGGAAUCUUCCACAAUGGGCGCAAGCCUGAUGGAGCAACACCGCGUGAGUGAAGAAGGGUUUCGGCUCGUAAAACUCUGUUGUUAAAGAAGAACGUAUCUAAGAGUAACUGCUUAGGUAGUGACGGUAUUUAACCAGAAAGCCACGGCUAACUACGUGCCAGCAGCCGCCGUAA
rnacentral:rRNA from 1 species